CCUGACGGUACCAGAGGAAUCAGCAUCGGCUAACUCCGUGUCAGCAGCCGCGGUAAGACGGAGGAUGCAAGCGUUAUCCGGAAUGAUUGGGCGACAAGCGUCCGCGAGGUGCUAGUUACAACGUUCUGCUGUAACAAACGGGACCGGGUACUUUACGUUACGGGAAACGGCUAGGUAACGGUAAACGUACGAAACGACGUACGUAAGGUAAGUUAGUUAGGGGGGUUACGGGGGACAAGGGGAAAGGGGUUAAACCUUUCCGGUUGGGUUAGGUACGGGUCGGGUAAAGUAAAGUCGGUACGGUAAGGAAGUACUACGGAAAGGGAAAACGAAACUACGGUUCGGGGUCGGGAACGGAACGGGCCGUCCUUCGUCGUCGGUACCGGAACCUAAACUUAACGUCGAACCUACCUACGGGAACGGGGAAACGGAAACGUCGGGUAAGGGGGACGACGUAAGGUGGGUUAAUUAAGUAACCCUAACCCGUAGGUUACCGUUACCGUACGGUAACCCGGUAAAACGUGGUAGGUAACUUAACGGUUAGGGUUUGGUUUCGUUCGUUAGUUACGUACCCGGGAACCCCGGAACGUAGGUCCGGUACCGGUACGUAACCGUAACCGGUUACGGUUUAAAGUCCCGUCCCCGGUCGGGUAGGGGUAACGUACCGACCGACGACGAAAGGUCGGUUCGGGUAGGGGACGACGAACGGCAACGACGGGAGGGUAGUGG
rnacentral:rRNA from 1 species